GUGUGUACAAGAAGGGGGCGGUGCUAGCGCGGCCUUGACAACCACGAAGUACCCUCCGAGACUACAUUUCCCGGGCGGCGCCGCGGGAACCGGAAGCGCCUGGGGUCCAGUGCGCAGGCGCAAAGUCCCCUCUGGUUAUAUAAGGACGGUCCUGCUGCACCUCGUUCUUUCGCGUUUGCAGUUCCUGGUUGGUCGUUUUGGUGUGUUCUGCUGCAUCGUCCUUAUCCGAUGUCAUCCAGCCCUAAGAACUCGGGGUUAUUACCGUGUGCGGUUGGCGUGAUCAAAGGGUGCAGAAUGCAUCUUGAAGGAGCGAGUCGUUGCUGGGCCUCCAAGGGAACCCCGAUGUCGCGUAGACAUCGAGAGCCUUUGGUCUCCUGAUCUGGUUUACUGUUGGCAAAAAGCAGACUUGGCGUGGACCAGGAUGAAUCCAGGAGUGGGAAAGGAUUGGGAAGUGAUGUGCACAUUUUUCUAAGUGCCCAUGCCCACAUGGCUGAACAGACAUAGAAUCUGGAGAAUGGAGGAGGUACAGAGCCCUGUGUGUCACUGGGCAGAAAGUUGAUUGCAGCCUGAUCUUCCUUUCGGCUCAGUCUGUGCUGUAGCAGGAGUUUCUCACGGGCGGAGUUGGAAUACAAGGCCUCUUGGAAAAGAUCGACCCUGUGUUUUCCUGAGAAAGCAUAAUGGAAUUUUGUAGGCUUCCUAUCUGGAGAAGGAAAAUAAAAAAAAUUCUUGAAA